GCCAGUGUGGCCUAGUGGUUUGAGUGUCAAACUACUACUCUAGGGACGAGGGUUCAAUUCCCUGCUCAGCCA